rnacentral:lncRNA from 1 species
GCCACCCCUAGGUGGUGAAGGAUGAAUAUUUUGUUGGAGGAUAAACACCUGUUGCAUGGGACAACUGUCAAACAUUUCCCACGCAAACUCCUAGAGCUCCCCACUGUGAUUGGGCUCCAGAUACCACAGCAACAACUUGCCCAAUAACACAUUCUAGAAGUUAUCUUCCUUUCUGUCAUUUUCUCACCCUCCUGCUAGUAUUUUGUGGUCAGGACUAGCUACAGGAUUUUCAGGAUCCAGUGCAAAUUAAAAUUGUGAGGCCCUUGUUGAAAAAUUAUUAAGAAUUUCGAAAUGGUAAUAGCAGAGCAUUAAACUAAGUGCAAAACCCUUUUGAGCACAGGCCUCGGGCAACUGCAUAGGUUGCUUGUUUGUGGAGCCGUUCUUGGUGCUGGUAUCCUGUCUCAAACUGUUUGGAUUCUCCCUGUCUCAGGAUUU